AGUUGUCAAACUCUAUCUUAAAUUUAGUUGCAUAUUUAUGUUUCGCACACCGUUUUAUAUUUUUAGGUUAUUUGCAACCUAAUUAGUAAUAGAUAGGUAAAGGUAGAAGGGUAAAUUUAAUAAUUUUUUAGUUGACCUCGAUAAGUGGGUAAUUUGAAAACUCUCGGCACUGACGUGCGCAUUGAUUUGUGCGGGCGGUCGAUCGGAGUCGCCUACCAUAAUAUUAGGAUAGGCAUACCAACACGUUUUAGUAAAUUCAUUUGCAGUAUGACAAUAACGACGUUACUAACUUAAAUAAUAAUUGCUAAAACAAUUGCUUGCAGCAAACGGGACAACGACUUGCAGAGACGUACAAGCCGCUUGUCUGCUAUGAAAGAUGAGUACGUGACGGGGCUUAAUAUUCUGCUCUUAACGCAAAUCGAUCCGUGCGAGCGCCAGACUUUGCUGCUUCGUCAGAGAGGUCUUAACCUGCAACGAGUACCACAAGAUAUAUAUGCACAACUGACUCUCUUUGCUGACCCAAAUUCGUAUCGUGAAAAUUUCAGUUCUUCUAAAUUAUACUAUUCUACUAUUUUUUUUUAAACUUAUAUUAGAAAAUCAAUUUCAUCCGAAUUGUUCAUCUAGUAAACAAGCUAAUUAACAUUGCUAAAAGAGAAUGAAAAGUUAUUAAGAAUGUUUUCAUGACCCACAGAUCAGGAAUAUGUGUAUAUAAAAAAAUGACGUUACUCUCCUGUGUAUAUUAGUGUACACUUCAUGUUUCCUAUUUCCCAAGCAAUUUCCGCAAGCUUUUACGCUUUGAUGUUUUUAUGUCUUAAAACGUUUGAAGUCGAAUCAACAAAAGAUAACUUGGCGACUCUAAACUUCGCAUGUGUGGAUUCGCAGCACGCCGAUGACCUUGGACCGCCAAGAUACUUGAAAGGUGGCCCUUGACCGUCAGGGAUUUCAUGUAUGGCUUAUUCUAUUAUUGAAUUAUCAGCCUGUAAAUGUACUUGAUUAUACAUUGUUUCAAUAACGUAAUGUAGUUGAAUUAACCGUAGCUACAUGGGAUAAUAAAGGCUUAACCUGUUUUACAAUGCACGUUGAACGACGCUUAACCGGUCACUAAUCUGAUACACGACAGCGCGUACGAUGCUUAACCUCGAUAGCUAUUGUGCUAAACCGCAUUAUUGUAAAAAUUAACCAGUUUAGUAUUUAGUAGGCAAAUAUUCAAGAAUGCAUAAAAGUCGCAAGAAUGUAUAUUAGAUUACUAUAAAAAUUGUUUGUGUUGA